AUGAAUAGUAUCUGGCACAUAGUAAUUACUCAAAAAGUGUCAGCUGUUAUAUUCAAUUUCAUUUUAAAUAGUUGUUCAAACAACUGUGAUUCUCCUUCUUCCAGCAAAUGUGCACUGAACAUCCUGUACUUUCUGGGUGUUGAUGAUACAGAGGUGAAUGACAGCAAAUUACCAUGGGGUUCUCCAAGUGUAAAAGGUAAAAUCCUCUACCAAGAGAAGCAUAUAGCACAAGCUAAAAGCAGUUUUAUGCUAGCCUUUUUUCUUGGGAUCUGCAUGUGAGAAAAUUGGAUUUUCAAAGGAGUAAAAAGGUAAGAUCAUAUCAGACCAAAGACUGGCCAAAAAAACAUCACAUUCCAACAUGUAUGUGUGUUAAUUCUCACAGAAUGCUACAAAAAAUAGAAGGAUACAAUGUGUUUGUAAUCAAAUUUGAUUCUGUGAGACUGAGACUUCCUCACAUAAAAUUUUAUGAAAUGCUUUGGGGGGAAGGAGGAAAAUAUGAAAAACAAUUCCAGUUUGUGGGCCAUGGCAAAAGACCACAAUGGCAUAGGCAAAAUGACAGAAUGAGCUGACCUGCACUAGAAUCCUCUCUCUGGUCUCUCCCUUCCACGUCUCCAGCUGCCUUCCCACCCUACGGCUUGUAUGAAGUAUAGGUGUGUAGUGUGUGUGUGUGUGUGUGUGUGUGUGUGUGUGUAUAAAAUAUGUGUGUGUAUAUAUAUAUACACAUAUAUAUGUAAUCUAAGGAUAUAGAUCCCCAGAUAAUUUAUGUAUCUAUAAAUUAGAUGCCCCUCUUUUGAAUCUGGCUAUAUCCCUUACUGGUUCUGCAACAUUGUCCAAGCGCCUGAACUGCUCUUGGUCUCAGUUUCUUAAUUGGUGAUAUGGAAAUAAUAACUGUGUCUAUCACAGAGAUUAUUUGGGGAUCAAAUGACCUGAUGCAUGUGAAGUGCUUAACAAGGGCCCUGGCAUACAGUAAAGUACUUCCGUACAUGUUAACUGUUAUCAUUGCCAGUGCAGUAUUGGGUGAGACUGAAUUCAAAAUUAUUGUGGUAAGAGAGCUAGCUCUGCGUGUUCUUUGUUGGGUCGGUGCAUCAGUUUAACUUGCAGCAGGUCUUCUGUGUUUAGGUAAGUUGGUUGAGUAGUUCUUUGUUAUAUAAAAGGCUGAUUUCCCUGGAGGAAGAAGGGCUACAUUUGGUAGCCUGACAAGGGAAUUCCUUCUCAAUGCAUCUUGGAAUGUAGAGGACAGUAAAUAUGGGGCCAUGAGGCCUCCUGGGAGGAAGAGAGACCUCUAUCACCUCCCUUGAGGUUCAGUGUUUUCGGAAAGUCUAUGAUGAACUCCAUCAUUUUAGUUAAUCAUUUGGUAGAAAGGAACAAGGGCCUCAAAGAGAUGUGAACCCUAUGAAAAUAGAGAGUCUAGACUCAACACUGAGGUUAACAAUGUUUUGGAGGCAGGGCUGCUCUCAGUCCAUUGUGAUGCCAAGGCUAGAGGACUCUCAAGACCCAGCACCUUGCCCACAGCAUUAUGCUUUGUAUAGACAAUGGCCCUGCACAUGAAGAUAACCUAAAAGAUCUUUACUUUGGGAAUGUAAGGAUGGGCCUCUUGAAGCUUUUUCUUUUAAGGAGUAUACAUUCUUAAGGGUCCUCUCAGCAGUGUGGAACACCCUGUGUGACUAAGAGGAAGCAAUUCCAACAGCAGCCAGUGAAGAAAUAUGGCAAUGAAGGAGAAUAAUGAUAAUGGAGUAGGCAGGUUUGCUAUUUCUCUCACAUGCAGAUGGAGCUGAGCGGUCCUUAGGGGUAACAGUUGAAGUAAAAAUUCCUCAGGGAGGUGUUACUGGACUCUAGGUAAUUGGGGCAAGCAAGUUUUAAGACAUUAGUUAGGAAAAUAAAAGGGAUAAACCCAUAUAUUAUGUAAAGCUGACACAGCACUUACAUUGUAUUCAUCCAUCGGUCCAUCCAUGUAUUAUUCAUCCAUUUACUUAUCAUCCAUUUGUUAUGUAUUUAUUGAAGAUGCUAUUUAAGAUAACGAGCUUUAUAAAUCCUGGUUUUUUUUUGUUUUUUGUUUUUUUUUUUUUGCCAUUGAGGGUCCAAUAAUCCCAUUAACCAGACAUGUUUCAUGGCAGCUAUGCAAGAAUAUUAUUACAUUUAAUUUGUUACUAUCUUGCCAGUGAAACAUUGUAUACUGAGAAAAUCCAAUCAUCAUCUUAGCACAUGUACUAAAAUGUUUCCCUCUUGGGGUGGGGGGAGGCAUGCACGCACACAAGAAUUUGUCUUUACAAAUUCUUGGAAUCUUGGAGUGAUAAGGUAUUUAUGUCAGUCUUUGUUUAGUGUAGUGACAGCUUUGGUGUGGAAGUUUGUUUUGCAAAACAAAAUACAAGCUCCAUAAUAUACUGCUUGGGGAAGAAAACCUCAGAAAGCAUGCCCUGGUGGGGUCUCCCUUAUGCACCUCUGGAGACAGUUCAAUAUCAGAUUUGGUUCCCAUGGAAGCUUUGCUUAUCAUUUCUUCUAAUGACCACACUGGAAGAGGUACUUAUGAGGACAGUUUACCUAAUCACCAAGUAAGGAAUAUCCAUCCACUGCCACAUCAGCCCUUAUGAUUCUAGAAUAAAUGAAUUUCUACCUGUCAUGGAUUAUCAGAUAUUUCUGUAUCUGUUUAACAAGGGUAAUAUUAAUAGUGCAGUGAAAACAGCACUGUGUUUGUGGAUCUGUUGUCUUUGUUCCUUUGCUAAUCUUGUAUAUUUUGCUUUUUGGUCUUAAGAUGCUAGAAUAAACAUGUUUUUAGAUGCAAGAAGACAUCUGAUCCAGUAUUCCUUAAUUAAUGUAAUCUUUAAAAAAGCAUCCCAAUAUCCUUAGGAUGUCGUAUAGCACUUAGUCAGAGUGAGGAAAGAGCUUAACUGCACUUAUUUAAAAAUUCCUAUUCAUAGCACAGCUCACUGAAGUAUUCUACUAAUCAGCUGUCAGGCAGGCAGGUCUCCCCAUUGCUUUUGGAUAGCCCCAAGGCUCACAGAAAGAUGGUGGAGAGGGUCAGGUUGACAGAUUGUUUUUGCUGUCUUAACGAGCACAAAUUAACUGAUUUUGCUGAAAAAUCUCUCUGGAUUAUGACAGACAAAACAUUCUUUACAACGUGAUAUGUUUUCAGUGGGCAGCUCUGGUUUCUUCAUUGUAAAGGCUUCCAAUCCAGCCUGCCUGUUCUAGUAUAUUCCUGGUUAAUUUUUUUGCCAUGAUGAUUCAUCAGCCUCAGCAAUUCCCUGAAAACAGAAACACAAGCAUGUAGCAAGCAAAGGCAGAAUACAUCAUAUUUUUGUUGUUGUUGUUGUUGUUUUGCCUAGGAUGUCCAAUGGUAGAGACUGACGUCAACUGCUGAGUCAUUUUGUCUACCUGGUUAAUUCCUCUUGUGUAAUGAGCAAGAACAUAUAAUACAAAGACCUUCACAUUUUGUGAUCAUUCCCCUUAUGGACAUCCAUAUGCUCUACAACCUCUGUCUAGCCUUCCAGGACACUUACCACAAUCUGUAAGUCCGUAUAUACGCCAACCUUAGGUGACUUUUCUUUCCACACAAAGUGUAUGACCAGGUAAGCCAACCAAAGCACUGACCAUUAGGAAGAAUUUCUGUU
ensembl:lncRNA